rnacentral:lncRNA from 1 species
UUUUAAAUUUUAAUUUUAAAAAAUAAUAAAAAAGAAAUUUGUAAAAUAAAAUAGAAAAAAUAAUAUCAAAUACUUUUCUUGAUUUUAAUGAUUUUUAAGUAGCAAAAAAAUAAGCGGCGCAAGCAAAGGCAUUAGUUUCAGGAUGUUAUUGAUUGAUUUCUCUUCUAAUUGAAACUCAUCAUAUUUUUCAAUAUAUUAUAUAAUCGGAUUUGACCAAAUUAUUUUUAAAUCAAUUCUAAGAUCGCAAGCGGCUCAAAUCGUCCACUGCCACAUUUCUCUGAUAAGGUUUUUUGUCCUUCCCUCUCCGCCGCUCUUUCCGUCCCAAN